rnacentral:rRNA from 1 species
UACGUAGGGGGCAAGCGUUGUCCGGAUUCAUUGGGCGUAAAGAGCGUGUAGGCGGCUUGGUAGGUCCGCUGUGAAAACUCGAGGCUCAACCUCGAGAUGUCGGCGGAAACCACUUGGCUAGAGUCCGGAAGAGGAGGGUGGAAUUCCCGGUGUAGCGGUGAAAUGCGCAGAUAUCGGGAAGAACACCUAUGGCGAAGGCAGCUCUCUGGGACGAUACUGACGCUGAGACGCGAAAGCGUGGGGAGCGAACAGG